rnacentral:rRNA from 1 species
UACGGAGGGUGCAAGCGUUGCUCGGAAUUAUUGGGCGUAAAGCGCACGUAGGCGGCUCCGCAAGUCGGAUGUGAAAUCCCUCGGCUUAACCAAGGAAGUGCAUCCGAAACUGCAGAGCUUGAGUACUUAAGAGGAUCGCGGAAUUCCCGGUGUAGAGGUGAAAUUCGUAGAUAUCGGGAGGAACACCAGUGGCGAAGGCGGCGAUCUGGGAAGAUACUGACGCUGAGGUGCGAAAGCGUGGGGAGCGAACAGG